UUUAUUCCAGAUCACUUUCAAGUUUCAGCUUCCGAUUCAGACUGUUCUGAAAAUAGGACCCCAUCCCCAUCCAUAGAACACCCAAGAGUACAUGAUUCGUCGAGGAUAGAUCACAUGACCAUUCUUGGACUCGGCGAAAACUAAGAGGUGCUGCAUUUAUGUUGAACUUGCUUAGUCUUCGGCGACUGUCAUGGGGUUCGAGCAGUGAUGGUCAAGAAAAGGUUGUGCUGACUGCUGUGGAAUUAGCAACAUUGCGGUCAGAGAUUGCUGAUCUUGAAGAGCGGGAAGCUCACCUAAAAGCACAGUUGGAACACAUUGAUGAACUUUUGCGGUCUGCUCGUCUAUCGGGCUAUUUGUACAUUCGAACUAGGUGGGAAGCCCUACCAGGUGAACCUCCACCUAUCGAUGAUACCGAUGUCGACGAUUGGCUUCCUCGCUUUGUUGUUCUACAUGGAAAGUGUAUAUAUUUCUAUUUAUCAUCUACAGAUAUUAGCCCUCAGGAUUCCACCCUUCUAGCUGACAUUGUUGAAGUGGGUUCUCUGCCG
rnacentral:misc_RNA from 1 species